AUCCCUGGCUCAGGAUGAACGCUGGCGGCGUGCUUAACACAUGCAAGUCGAACGGUGAACACGGAGCUUGCUCUGUGGGAUCAGUGGCGAACGGGUGAGUAACACGUGAGCAACCUGCCCCUGACUCUGGGAUAAGCGCUGGAAACGGCGUCUAAUACUGGAUAUGUGACGUGACCGCAUGGUCUGCGUCUGGAAAGAAUUUCGGUUGGGGAUGGGCUCGCGGCCUAUCAGCUUGUUGGUGAGGUAAUGGCUCACCAAGGCGUCGACGGGUAGCCGGCCUGAGAGGGUGACCGGCCACACUGGGACUGAGACACGGCCCAGACUCCUACGGGAGGCAGCAGUGGGGAAUAUUGCACAAUGGGCGCAAGCCUGAUGCAGCAACGCCGCGUGAGGGACGACGGCCUUCGGGUUGUAAACCUCUUUUAGCAGGGAAGAAGCGAAAGUGACGGUACCUGCAGAAAAAGCGCCGGCUAACU
rnacentral:rRNA from 1 species